AGCUCCGUGGGGUAAUGGUUUAGCCUAGCGUGGGAUAUCGUCUAUAAAUCGAAGACGCUGGUUCGAAUCCAGCCGGGGCCA
rnacentral:tRNA from 1 species